CUAGCUAUACUGCAUUUAGCAUAUGCAAUCAAAUUUGAUUGGGCGGCGACACCCAUCAAAUUUUGGCGUCGUUGCCGAGGACCAACGGUUGGGUUUUAGGUCUUUUGUUGUGUUAAUGUGUGUUGUUUCUUGUCUUCUAUUGUGAAUGUGAUGUUCUGUUUUGUGUGUUCGUCCUUAUGUGUUGCAUUUAGGUAGCUUUAGUUGCAUAUUUUCAUCGCAUUCUUCUUUUCCCCCUUCUUUCUACAUGUCUACCUAUUUUGGCUAUGUGAGUAAAUCUUAUUAUGCCUGUGUCUAUGAUUCUCCUCCUGUUUGUUACUCUGAUUAUGAUUCGCCUACUGAAUUCUGUGUUGAGAACAGUAUGAUUCCU
rnacentral:lncRNA from 1 species